rnacentral:rRNA from 1 species
UACGGAGGGUGCAAGCGUUAUCCGGAUUCACUGGGUUUAAAGGGAGCGUAGGUGGGUUGGUAAGUCAGUGGUGAAAUCCCCGAGCUUAACUUGGGGACUGCCAUUGAUACUAUCAGUCUUGAAUACUGUGGAGGUUAGCGGAAUAUGUCAUGUAGCGGUGAAAUGCUUAGAUAUGACAUAGAACACCAAUUGCGAAGGCAGCUGGCUACACAAUUAUUGACACUGAGGCUCGAAAGCGUGGGGAUCAAACAGG